GCUUGCCUUUGAAUUCUUUCCUGGGAAAAUACAAGAACCCUCCUAGGCUAAGCCCCAGUUUUGAGGCUCAGCUGCCCUCCAUCAUUCGGUGAUUAACAAAGGGUUGAAGACAGUGAGCCAUAGAAUGCGAGAGAUGAGGAGAUGGCAGUCAGCAAAGACAGCAAGAAUACAGCAAGAGACCGUGAGAGACAGCAAGAGACCGAUCAGUGAGACAACAAGCAGAGAUGGCAAGAGACAGCAAAGCAGUCUGUGAUAGAGGCUGCAAGAGCUAUAACACAAAGGCUGUAACAAUAAAUAGCUAAUACUAUAGAGCUGUACUAAUAGCCAAAGGCUCUUUUCAGAGCCAUCACUUUCCCUGGCAGGCAACAGAGCUGAGUGGAUGGGCAAGUGACCAUAGUGCUGCUGCCUCAUGUGAGACUCGCUGCUCUAACCAACAGCUCAAUAGGUUACCAGCAUUUGCACCAGACAUCCUGUGUGACAGCCAAGCCCACCCAAGGUGAGGAAAUCUGGAGAGACAUUCAACUGGGUCCCAUGUGGAAGAUCAGUCAGUGCCAUUUUGGUUCCUGCGGAUGGGCACCCUUCUAGGUGGCAGAUGGAAGCAACAUAAAGGAAAACAAAAGAGUUGGAGGGAAAGAAAUAGACGAUUGGAGCAUCUGGAUUCAACUAUACCUCAAGUUAGAUUAACCCCUGGACUUUUUAACUGCAUGAAUCAACAAAUCUUCUUUUAGUUUAAGACAUUUUGAGUUAGUUUCUGCCACUUGCAACCCAGAGUCCUAACUAAGAUCCCACCAUCAUCCCCAGGGUCUAACUGUGGCAACUGGACUAAAGCCUCACCUCCUUGUACUGUCCGCCUUGCCUGCUUCCAGUUAUGGUCCUAUCCCUAAGCCAGUUCUAGCAGGCUUGUGGUCCAUUCCUCAUCCUUUCUAGCAUUUCCAAACUUAAUUUGGAGUGACUCUCCAAAUCUAACUUAGACUGGUCCCAAAAUCUUGGAAGAAACCUAUUCUCCAACUUCAACAUAGACUGGCCUUUUUUCCUUUGAGGAGAAAGAAAACUGAACAGCGUGAAUAUCCUCACAUAAAUACAUGCAAAUACAUCACUAGAAUCAGAUGUGGAGCUGGAGGUACCCCACCAGGGCAGCUCCUCCUACGUCAUAUCCAAUGCAGAAAUGCUGUCUCAUUGUCUAUGACCAUCCAUCCUCUGGUUAAAUGCCUCCAGAGACAGAAAGCUCACUACCUCAGAAGCCAUCCUGUUCUAUUGAUGGACAACUUCUAUAUAUGAGAUGUGUCAUUAUUAUACCAAAAUAAAAAUUACUCC
rnacentral:lncRNA from 1 species